rnacentral:lncRNA from 1 species
CUGAUUCUACAAAUCAGGCAACAGCCUAAGUAGCUGCCCAUUUAUUUGACCCCAGAAGGACUAUGAUCUAUGUCAUAGACCAUGUCAUAGAUAAGGGUCAAGGCAGCCCUGACGGUCUCUUGCCUUCCUGUCCAUUAUAGUAAUUCCACACACCUAGGUCUGAUGGUGAAGUGUGGUUCCUCCCAAUCUGGUAGUCCACAGUGCCCACUGGCAUUAGGAAGCCCGGUCUCACAGCGGCCUAUCCUUCCUUUGGCAUUGACUUGUCUCCAGAAGACAACCACCAUGCUAUUUUGUGUCUAAAGAAAAACCUCACUAUUUAAAACAACAGAAAUUCCUUCUAAGUUUUAAAAUCUAGAGUCCAAAAUUGAGGGGCCAGUAGGGCCGUGCUCCCUCAGAAGGCUCUAGAGAAGCUCCUCAGCCUCUCCUGGUGCUGGUGGCGGAAGCUACCUUCAUGUUCCUUGGCCAUCGUAGCUAUGCCUGCCUCUACCUCCACGUGGUGUCUUCCCUGAGUGCAGGUGUCUCUGUGCCUGUAUCUCCAAAUCUCCUUCUCCCCAUAAAGAUACCAGCCACUGGCUUUAGAAUCCACCCCAACCCGCCUGACCUCAGGUUGACUGGAUUUCCUCUGCAAAGACCAUAUUUCCAAAUAAGAAUGUGUUCGUAGGAAUGAGGCCAAGAGCUCAACAUAUAUUUUUGGAAGAAGCAAUUCUACCUACAAGACAGGCACCCUUUACAAGGCACUCCUUGUGUCCUGAAUGAAGAGAAUGUCCCCUGGGCCCUCCCGGGAGACAUAACCAGGUGUCACUUCUCAGGCAUUCUAACUUUGCUUUCCUGAGCACUCUGACUGUUCAGGAAGAGUACUGAAUAAGCCCAGGAUGUUCUAGCAUCUCCACUCCAUGCACUAUAUGCCAGCAGCUUCGAGGAGCCAUCUCAAAAAGCUGUUAAGACCAGCUCCUGGUGUCACUGACAUUGACAUGGGACCGGGGACUGGGCUGGAGAAUUUUCCUCUAUCCGGCCUCGUUUUCUGCAGCCUCUGCAGCUCAGCACCUCUGCCAUCCUGUGCCUACCCAGUACUCUCAGCAGAUCCUGCGACUCCUGUGCUGGGCCAGCUGUAUCUUCCCAACGCAGGACAUUCCGCUCCCCUCUCAGGCUGUUCAGAGACCUGACUCUGGUGACCAGGUGGGCGGGUUGCACACAGCAAGUGCCCUUUGUGGAGUCCAUGCCCCAAGGGAAU